AGAGGCCUCCCUUCCGAGGCGGCGGCGGCGGCGGCGCGGGCGCUCCCCGGCGCGAGCCCACGCGUCCUUCCCCGCGAGGUCCCUGCGCGGCGCGGCCCAGCCCGGCGUGAGUACCCCCCACGCGCUCCCCUCCGCCCCCAGGCGGCAGCGCCUGUUCCCUGGAGGUCUGUUCCUCCUUUCCGUCACCUGCUGCCCACCUGCCUCACUGAAGCACCCCAGGUGUCGAAGUCACUGAGCCCGAGGAGAUGACGUGACUUCAGGAUGAACGCGGUGCAGCUGGCUGGAUCUGAUUCCUCUCUGCUCCUUCUUCAUUGUUUUAGAAGAAAAAGAAUAGCUUUACUCUCAGAUGUUCAUUGAAGACUUGGUAAGAGAAGAAAAAAGAAUAUUACCUAAUGUUGAGUGUUUUUAAAGAAACUACUAUUGGAGGUGAGCAAAUAUAAUUCUAGUUUUCAACAGCGAAAGAAAGGUGGCUUCUCCAGACUACAAUGUAGGAGCCAAAGAUUUCGUUUGAGAAGUUGGAGCCUCAGUUUGGUGAAGGCAUUGAACUGAAGGUUUGUCACCGGUCACAGAGGAGUCCAGGGCUGGAAGGUCCUUCGAAUCUCUGUCGCAUCCAAAUGAACUGUGAAGCCCAGAAUACAGAUGCCACACUCAGCAAGCGCUUCCACUGUGCUCCCGCUAAGGGGUGUCCCUGACCCUGGCAGAGGUCAAAGGACAGGAGGCUUCUGUGGCUCCACAGAUCUGAUCAGUGUAGAUACAGCUCGAUUAGAAAAGGAAAACCAAGCCCACUGAAACCAUAGGGUCAAAGGGAAGAGUAUGCCACGUUGGAGUAUCCCACCCCCAAUUGCAAAAAUGCCUCCAGAGCCUGAGACGUAAGCCCUUCUGAAUCACCGUGGACUUGGAGAGGCAGGGCUCUGGGUAAAUAGGGGAGCUUCUCUAUUCGAAAGUAUAUAGAGCAGAAAAGCAUUUAGGCAGGGCCUUGAAGAGCUGAGCCAAGAACAAAGAGUUUCUAAUUCCAGCACCACACGGAAGAGACUCUGUUGUAAGAGCCACCACUGCUGUGCAGGGAAAUGACUUCCCUGAGGAGGUGGGGAGCAAGCUGUCCCUGGAGAUGCUCGGGCAGAGGCUGCGCGGGGAGGUCCAGGGAGGGCUCGAGCCUCAGGUGGCGGAUCCCUCCCCAGCUGUGCAGGGAGGUCCGCCGCGGGCCGGAGCACCUCUGCGUUUGCAGUUUCUCUGGCCCUGGAGUCUGGCUUUUGAUGAGUCCAGCCUACCCAGAAUCUCGGUGGUCCUCGCUCUCGGCUCUUUUGCCCCCAUCAUCUCAUGCUGGGGAUCCCUGGCCAUGCCUCCGACGUGUUCGAGGGGCUGGAAGCCGCAGACUAGAAACUCGUGCUGUGCAGAGGCGCACACGCAAGAGCCCAGACCGAGGCGCCACCAGGCGCAGGAAGCCGUGUCUCUCCCGCAGCUGGGGGCCGGCUCCUGGCGGCCGCGGGGUCUAGUGGUCAAGAGCGCGGAGUUGAGUCAGGCCGACGGAACUUUUCAGAGCCUCGGGUGCCUCCUUUGUGAGGUGGAGUCGAGAAUGCGGCCGAGACCCCUGCGCUUGUAGGUUCUGAGCGCCGACAGGUAGCAAACUCCCGCUGAGCAUCAUCAAGACUUGGGAGUUCCCGUCGAGGCUCAGCGGUAACGAAUCCCACUAGGAUCCAUGAGGAUGCGGGUUCGAUCCCUGGCCUCGCUCAGUGGGUGAAGGAUCCGGCAUUGCUGUGAGCUGUGGUGUAGGUCGCAGAUGUGGCUCGGAUCCUGCGUGGCUGUGGCUGUGGCUGUGGUGUAGGCCGGCAGAUGCAGCUCUGAUUCGACCCCCAGCCUGGGAACCUCCAUAUGCUGCACAGUGCGGGUCUAAAAAGCAAAAAAAAAAAAAAAAAAAAGAAAAAAAAAAA
rnacentral:lncRNA from 1 species